rnacentral:rRNA from 1 species
UACGUAGGGUGCGAGCGUUGCCCGGAUUUAUUGGGCGUAAAGGGCGCGCAGGCGGUCACGCACGUCCGUUGUGAAAUCGCUCGGCUCAACUGGGCGGGGUCAGCGGAUACGGCGUGACUGGAGCAAGCUAGGGGGCAAUGGAAUUCCCGGUGUAGUGGUGGAAUGCGUAGAUAUCGGGAGGAACACCUGCGGUGUAGACGGCUUACUGGACCAUAACUGACGCUGAGGCACGAAAGCGUGGGUAGCAAACAGG